rnacentral:rRNA from 1 species
UGCAAGUCGAACGGGGUACUUCGGUACUUAGUGGCGGACGGGUGAGUAAGGCGUAGGAAUCUGCCCACGAGAGGGGGACAACCUGGGGAAACUCAGGCUAAUACCGCAUACGCUCGCGAGAGGAAAGCGGGGGACCUUCGGACCUCGCGCUGGUGGAAGAGCCUACGUCCGAUUAGCUAGUUGGUAGGGUAAAAGCCUACCAAGGCGACGAUCGGUAGCUGGUCUGAGAGGAUGAUCAGCCACACUGGGACUGAGACACGGCCCAGACUCCUACGGGAGGCAGCAGUGGGGAAUAUUGGACAAUGGGCGCAAGCCUGAUCCAGCAAUGCCGCGUGCGUGAAGACGCCUGCGGGUUGUAAAGCCCUUUAAGUGCCGAGGAACGUCGGGUG